UAGAAAUGUAGAGCUUGCGGCCCAGGCAAGCCGUUCAUCGGUGGACCGACAGCGCCCCGGGCGGCAGAAAGAAGGCGGCGGCGGCGGAGACCCGGGGAAGUUGCCGGAUCUUUAAAAAGGCACCUGCUGGUUGGACCCAGACUGACACUCUUGCCUGAGGGCACAGGCCAUGGAGCAGCAGUCAAUACUGGACACCAGGCAGCUUCCAUGCUUGACAGUGUUGCCAGACCCUCGCAUGGGCAGGAGGGCACAGCUCUCUAGGAGGCAACAUUAUCCACUGGAGCAUCUAGAAGCACAAGGACUUCCAUGGUGGUCAGAGGCAGAAGAGGAUGUGGAGCAGGGUAGAAGACUCUCAUGACUACCCGCACACCACCAUCUUCCCCGGCCUGGCGCAAUUGCCUUCAGGAUAUGUACAGCAUAAACCACAG